rnacentral:rRNA from 1 species
AGUGAACGCUGGCGGUAGGCCUAACACAUGCGAGUCGAACGGCAGCACAGUAAGAGCUUGCUCUUACGGGUGGCGAGUGGCGGACGGGUGAGGAAUACAUCGGAAUCUACUUUUUCGUGGGGGAUAACGUAGGGAAACUUACGCUAAUACCGCAUACGACCUACGGGUGAAAGCAGGGGAUCUUCGGACCUUGCGCGAUUGAAUGAGCCGAUGUCGGAUUAGCUAGUUGGCGGGGUAAAGGCCCACCAAGGCGACGCUCCGUAGCUGGGCUGAGAGGAUGAUCAGCCACACUGGAACUGAGACACGGUCCAGACUCCUACGGGAGGCAGCAGUGGGGAAUAUUGGACAAUGGGCGCAAGCCUGAUCCAGCCAUACCGCGUGGGUGAAGAAGGCCUUCGGGUUGUAAAGCCCUUUUGUUGGGAAAGAAAAGCAGCAGGUUAAUACCCCGCUGUUCUGACGGUACCCAAAGAAUAAGCACCGGCUAACUUCGUG